GUGGGGAAUCUUGCGCAAUGGGCGAAAGCCUGACGCAGCCAUGCCGCGUGAAUGAUGAAGGUCUUAGGAUUGUAAAAUUCUUUCACCGGGGACGAUAAUGACGGUACCCGGGGAAGAAGCCCCGGCUAACUUCGUGCCAGCAGCCGCGGUAAUACGAAGGGGGCUAGCGUUGCUCGGAAUUACUGGGCGUAAAGGGCGCGUAGGCGGACAGUUUAGUCAGAGGUGAAAGCCCAGGGCUCAACCUUGGAAUUGCCUUUGAUACUGGCUGUCUUGAGUACGGGAGAGGUGAGUGGAACUCCGAGUGUAGAGGUGAAAUUCGUAGAUAUUCGGAAGAACACCAGUGGCGAAGGCGACUCACUGGCCCGUUACUGACGCUGAGGCGCGAAAGCGUGGGGAGCAAACAGGAUUAGAUACCCUGGUAGUCC
rnacentral:rRNA from 1 species